UACGUAGGGUGCGAGCGUUGUCCGGAAUUACUGGGCGUAAAGAGCUUGUAGGUGGUUUGUCGCGUUGUGCGUGAAAUCUCACGGCUCAACUGUGAGCGUGCGGGCGAUACGGGCAGACUAGAGUACUGCAGGGUAGUGGAAUUCCCGGUGUAGUGGUGAAAUGCGUAGAUAUCGGGAGGAACACCAGUGGCGAAGGCGACUACCUGGCCUGUUCUUGACGCUGAGGCGCGAAAGCUAGGGGAGCAAACGGG
rnacentral:rRNA from 1 species